UUUCGUCUUGAAAGGUCUCCGAUAGGGAAAGAAAUGCUACCAGAUGCACAGGCAUACUGGCCAUACCGGUAUGCCGGUGGCCUGUCAAAACAUCCAUAGUAUAUCUAAGUUUUAACGUUUUUACGGCUCCCUCCGUGUUAUUCAUGUGGCCCACCCCAGCGGUCCAGUCCAAGACGGAACUUCUUUCCCAGUGGGAAAGCUAAGCUAAUACAGAUCUGGUUUUAUGGAGAUGGAGAACUGUACAAGAUGCUAAAGGCUCCAGCUUGACUCGGAACUGGCUUCUUCUCCUCUACAUACACCAAGGAGAAACGUUACAGAGAGGAAAUCAAGGAAGAGACGGUGUGUAUCGAUAUCUCAGGACUUCCAGCAGCUUCAUCCCCAGGGAGCGGAAAAACAUUUUGAAAACUGGGCGUACGGGCUUACGUAUGCUCAGCGGGACGGAAACUGCAUUUAGUGCUGGAGAACAUGACAGCAGUUCCCAAAGCUGAGAGAACUCUGAAGGUUCUGCAAACUCUGCUUCCCGCAUUCAUCGACAAGAGAGGAGGAAAAGGCUUCAGACCCACCACUGAGGAGUCCCGCAGGUCACAAGCCUGUAAGUUUUGCUUUAGUUUUUCGAUUUCAAUGAGGGUGGGCAUUGGUACUGCUUGAUAACAAUGAAGGUAAUUUAGGGCCAGAAUGUUUGAAAAAAAAAAAACAAACUGAAUGUAAACCCAUGAAUGAUAAAAUUCACCUGUAAGUGUAAAUCCAAACCUCCAAAUGAGAAAACCAAACAGUAAAUCAGACAAAAAAAAUUGUGAAUGAGAAAACAACUGCAUGAAAAGGCAAACAAAAAAAAAACUUUAAAAAAAAAAGAAAAAAGAAGCAUUUUCUGGUAUCUUCUGUUUCUGCACGUUUGUGCCUUGUGGUUGAGAUGACCACAUGCCAGGUCUUUACCAUUAUUUCAGGCCACGCCAUGGAAACAUGAUGCUGCACUGAACAAAUGAACAACCCAGCAUCCAGCACUUGGUUUUGUGCCGGGUGUAUGGUGUGACUAAAGGGCAAUCGACAGUGGACACAUUUUGAAGUACAUGUCAGUCAACCAUCUGAAGGAACUGAUGCACUUCUGUCUUAUCAAAUGUUGCGACCCGCACUCACUCUAAGAUAAAGACGAGUGACACGCAUCACUAUGUGCCUCUGCAACGUGCACUCAGUCUAUUUUUCUUUCCUCUGAUGCACUCGGUGAAGCCACAGGCGGCUCAAAUUACCUGCUGUCUAUAUGCUGAGAAACUAUUAACUGUAUCUACAAUGACUGAUAAAAGGCCACAGUCAAUAUGAGCUAUCCACUUCCGCCACGGGCACGUACAAUAGAGCUACAGCGAAUUAGCGAGAGCUAAUAAUGGUUUAAAUUACUUAAAUCUACAGUGCUCUUAAAGUGAUAUGACAAAAAAAAAAAAAAACAAAAAAAACAUGGUAUAUGUUCAAAUAACACUCAGUGGCAGUAAAUCGUAGUUACAAGUUGAAAAAGAUGUUUGUAUUACUUCAUCUCUGCUGCAGGGAUCCUGUUGAUGUUUUAAAAGAACUUUUGUAAGUAGAGAUAAACAUAGGGUCACAGUUAUGAGCAUAAUGUGUGAGUACCUGUGUACCACAGUAUCAGACAGUAUCUGAAAAGGCAGCUGCAACACUUUCAGUUCAGUGUGCAGGUCGCAUUAACCCUCUCACUAACACUCCUUAUUCAUGCUUUGAAUACAACCACUGAGUUGUGUUUUAGUUAUUGUAUAUUUUUCUAUAAAUGAUGCGUAAGCACCUUGAACAAAAUUGCCAGUAUGAAGAGGUCAGCUCAACAGAAUUCUGCCCAGUUCCGUUCUGACAGUAUGUGUUUGGUUUUGAACCGCGCUCGACACAUUAGUACAGAUGGGAAAUAGAAGCCCCCUCCAUUUUAUCAUGUCGAGAAAAAGCCACUGUGGAUUGGAAAUAGAUUGAUUCGGUCCACACAUGAUUAGACGUUCUCCCAUAUAACCUUCACCCCAGGGCUGGCUUUGAUGAAGAACAAUGCAGAAGAGAGAAAUUGGACUGGCUGUGUUGUAUUUGUCAGUGGCAAGUCUCUUUAACAUGCGGACCUGUCAGCAGAUGGCCUUCUUAUCAUUUAAUAGGAAAGGUUGAACCAUCUGAUUACUCCUACUCCUCAUUUACCCUGGAUCCAUACAACUGAGCGAAGUGAAAAUCUAGUCGGUGAAGGUUUGGGCAGGAAUGGCACGUGCGAAGCGUCACAGCUCUUCAGAAAUACACCACUAAGUUUUCUUUCUCAGGAUUUUUUUUUUUUUUUUUUUUAAAUCUCAUAUUCAGUCUUAAAAUCUUUAUUCGU